rnacentral:rRNA from 1 species
AAAGAGACCUUUAGUUUGAAACCCCGAAACCAGGUGAGCUACCCCGAGACAGCCUAAAUAACUUAGGGCUAACCCGUCUCUGUGGCAAAAGAGUGGGAAGAGCUCCGGGUAGAAGUGACAGACCUACCGAACCUGGUGAUAGCUGGUUGCCUGAGAAAUGGAUAGAAGUUCAGCCCCGUAUGCCCCGUACCAAAAACAUCAUUAUAAGGUUUAGGGAAAUUUAUGGGAGUUAGUUAAAGGGGUACAGCCCCUCUAACAAAGGAUACAACCUUUACAGGAGGAUAAAGAUCACAAUAUUUAAAACAUACUGUUCUAGUGGGCCUAAAAGCAGCCACCUAAGCAGAAAGCGUUAAAGCUCAGACAGAAAGGAGUUUAUUAUUCUGAUAAAAAAUCUUAUUCCCCUAAUAUUAUCAGGCUAUCCCAUGCCCACAUGGAAGAAAUUAUGCUAAAAUGAGUAACAAGAAGACCUGAUCUUCUCCAAGCACAAGUGUAUACCAGAUCGGACCAACCACUGGAAAUUAACGAACCCAAACAAAGAGAGUACUGUGAAUUAUAUAAAAACCAGGAAAACCCCACAACUAAAUAAUCGUUAACCCCACACUGGAGUGCUAUAAAUUAAGGAAAGACUAAAAGAAGAGGAAGGAACUCGGCAAACAUAAGCCUCGCCUGUUUACCAAAAACAUCGCCUCCUGCAAAAGAACUAAGUAUAGGAGGUCCAGCCUGCCCAGUG